rnacentral:lncRNA from 1 species
AUCGGUUCCAAGCCACCUCCCCAGCCCGAGCAGGACCUGCGCCGUCUGGUCUUCGAUCAUCACACGGCCACCAACAGCUUCUACUGGCGCCUGACGGUCAGGAAAUAGCAAAAACUGACCAGUCUAGCCAUCCCCUCCACGCUAAGAACUCUGGUGAGAUCCAUAUUCUCUCCUCUUUUUAGGUUUUUUUUUUUCAAUGGGUUCUUCCACAGUUCCACACCUGAUUCUAUCUUCAUCGAUCAAUUGUAGCCAAAGCGCCGCCCGACUCACUGGAUCAACAACAAUUCACUAGUGGGUGUCGGAUCAACAACGAUUCGUGGUGGGUGUCGACAUGCCAGAGAAGUCCUUGUAGAGCCUGCGACUGCAUCUGCUUUACAUAGUUCCACCUUGAUCUGUUGUACAAAAGAACGCUGGUGCAGGUGCCGCAAGAUCUGAGCAAGUAGACUCACCCAACGGUACCAGUCCUUAGGUCCAUCGGCAACCCCAGGUUCAUCCUCUCCUGCCCAUCUUCAUAACUGAACUAGAACACAUAAAGAAAUCUCAUUGUGAAGUCUUCCUCGACAAUGUCAAACAUGAUUUCAAAUUUUGGUUCCACGUUUACUGCACUUCUUGAUCCAGUUAUGUUUCAAUCAGGUGGAAUUCAUUCAUGCCACUUAUUUAUAUCACUGAAAUCUUACCUUUUUAUCAUUAUAAUGAAUGAAUGAUUGAAGAUAAUGUGGAAGAUUUUAUAUGGGUAUUGCUUGAUGCAAACCUUGCCUCCACAAAACUAAGAGAUGACAUCUAAGUAUGGACCAUAAUGAUAGAUAGAUGAAAACACAAAUGCACUAAAACCACCCAUGCAAACACGCAAUAUAGACAUGGAAAGAAAAUUCAACCGAAUUUGGCCAACGAAGCAUUCGUACCUGUGUCGUGCUAUAACAUCUUAUACAGAUUUUAAAUAAAGAAGAUAUGGUCUGAAUCCUUUCUAAUCUAGAAAAUGGCUACACAUAGUUGUGAUUCUAGACAAGCAUCUUAGGCAUCUUAUACAGUAUUUAAAUAAAGAAGACAUGGUUUGAACCCUUUCUAAUCUGGAAAAUGGCUACACAUAUUGUGAUAAUAAGAAGACAUGCAUCUUAUACAAUUCAAAUAAAGAAGACAUGGUUGGAACCCUUUCUAAUCUGGAAAAUGGCUACACAUAGUUGUGAUAAUAAGAACAGACCUUAAAGCAACCACGCACACAACAAUAAAAUCAGGCAAGAGCUAAGAACCACCGGACCAUGAGCCUCCACAUCAUGCAGAUCAUAACCCAUCUGCUUAAUGUGUAUAAGGAUUUGGACAAGACUUUAAAUUGUGUAAUUUGACCAUCGAUUUCUCUUAAAAUAUAUUACGAAUUGCUACAAAUCAAUGUCGUAUUAAAAGAUUUCUGAACUGAAUCUAUUGAUAUAACUUUUAUUCACUAAGCAUAAACAUAAUCUGAGUAGCUAUUAGUCAACAUUUAUGAAUUUGACCUUUUUCAAAUCCUAAUACAUUAUGUUCCUGUAAAAAUAAACAGAGCAAUGUUUAAGUUAAGCAUGUCCACUCGUCUAGACGACGUAUUCUAAUUUCUUAACAAUAGGUAAAUCCCAAUGCAACAGAUAAUAUGAUUAUCAGGAGAGGGAAGAGAAUUUAAACCACAAUAAGAACCUGUAGGCACAAAUCUGAUACCCAAAGUGAGAUGUUAUCUCUUAUUUUGCUAUUUGGAUCACUAUUUUUGGAGCAAACAUUACUUCAGAAAUUAAGACCAUACAUAAUUAAGAGCUUGCGAAAUUACAAGGACUACAUGCAGUAUGUUAGUGUUGGGGCAUAUUUUAGCUUGUACUUUGCAUUGCUUUUGGGUUAAAAAUAACUGGAGCAAUCUUUGGAAAGACAAAAAAUUACUCAAUAUGUCCCAGACAGUGGGAGACAGUGGGACACAUAUUGGUGUAUAAAAAAGAAUCAAGGUUGUAAACUGCUAGAAUACUAUUAGCGUCUUCACCCGGAUGUGGCAGUAUGAUAGUUGGUGUCAAUCUGUUAGAACUUGACUUUGAAUUUCAAAUUUGUUGCUUUGCCUAGCGUUGAGUCAGGUGGUAGCCGUUACAGAUAUAGGCCUUUAUCUCUAUUUUGUUUCUAACUACUUGCUUGAACAUAUGUAUUUCCUAUUGUGUGAGAUUAUCACCUGAAAAUUCCUCAUUUGCAAUCUGUUAGUGGCUGCUAGUACCAAGCAAAUUAACGAGGAAGCUAAUAGCUGAUUAGUAGAGUACACGCAAUAGCUGCUAGCGGAGCAGUAACAGAAGCGUGGGGUAGUGGUACUCAUACCGUACCUCCCUUAGGAAUCGGUCCUCGAGGUCGGCGGUAACGCGGGCGGCGAUGACGAGCGUGCCGAUGAAGAGGGGGAGUGGGAGCAUGAAGGCGAGGAUUAGCUGGUUGGUGCUAGGCGGCCCGCCAGCCUACACCACCAUGAGGUGGCCGCGGCCCCGCCGCCGCGCACCUCCUGGCACCGGCCUUAUGAAGCUGCUGGCACGGACAGGGCGCCCAGAGCACGGCAAGGUCGCGGUGCAGAGAAAGAGCCGCAACAUGGCCGCCCACCGCCAUGGGCGAGAGGGAUGGGAAGGAGACUCAGAGGAGGCUGGGAUUUGGGGGCGAGUGCCCGCGCGCCCGCUCAUCUCCGCACCGCAGCACACUCCACUGCAUCCACCGCUGAGCAUUGAGGGAUGGAGAAGGUUGAGCAAGAGGAGAGCAGGUGGACGUGUGAGUGUGGAUAAGGUUAUGGGUACUUUGGUCUUUUUUCAUUUUAUCCUAAAUAUUGUUAUUUUUUAAAUGUUAAUCAAAAUCUAAUUAACAAUAUGUAAAGUAGGGACAAAUGGUGUCUUCAAUUUCAAAAGACAAAAAAAAAAGUAAAAUAGCAAAGUUAAAAAGUACGGAAAAUUUAUAAUUAUUUUUUUAUUUUCUCAUCUAUUUAUGCUGGAAUAUGCUUCUUAUGAAAGAAAAAAAUCACUCAUGCUGAAAAAGGACGAAGAGCAUCGAUGGAUCUGCAUGUGCACAAGCAAAUAGAGCUCGUUGAGGCGAGCUCGAGCUGUGGCACGGACGGAUGCGUUAUUGAGUUGCGGCAAGGGGACAUGGCUGAGGUCUGAGGAGGGGGAGCAGCCCGGGGCAACCUCGAGUGGCGUCAUGGCGAGCUCAAGCGAUGGUGGAGGGAGCACAGCCAGUUGGAGAAUAAGGAGUUGCGGGCAAAGGAGGUGGAGAAGAUGAGGCUGGCGAUGUUGGGAGGGCUGUCAUCUCCUCUUUAGGUCUUGUUUAGUUCCAAAAUUUUUUGCAAAAUGAGCACUGUAGCACUUUCGUUUGUAUUUGAUAAAUAUUGUCCAAUCAUAGACUAACUAGGCUCAAAAGAUUCGUCUCGUUAAUUUCGACCAAACUGUGCAAUUAGUUUUUAUUUUCGCCUAUAUUUAACACUCCAUGCAUACAUCUAAAGAUUCGAUGUGACGGGGAAUCUGAAAAAUUUUGCAAAAUUUUUUGGAAACUAAACAAGGCCUUAG